rnacentral:rRNA from 1 species
AUGGGGGCAACCCUGACCGAGCAACGCCGCGUGAGUUGAAGAAGGUUUUCGGAUCGUAAAGCUCUGUUGUAAGUCAAGAACAAGUGUGAGAGUGGAAAGUUCACACUGUGACGGUAGCUUACCAGAAAGGGACGGCUAACUACGUGCCAGCAGCCGCGGUAAUACGUAGGUCCGAGCGUUGUCCGGAUUUAUUGGGCGUAAAGCGAGCGCAGGCGGUUUGGUAAGUCUGAAGUUAAAGGCUGUGGCUCAACCAUAGUUCGCUUUGGAAACUGUCAAACUUGAGUGCAGAAGGGGAGAGUGGAAUUCCAUGUGUAGCGGUGAAAUGCGUAGAUAUAUGGAGGAACACCGGUGGCGAAAGCGGCUCUCUGGUCUGUAACUGACGCUGAGGCUCGAAAGCGUGGGGAGCGAACAGGAUUAGAUACCCUGGUAGUCCACGCCGUAAACGAUGAGUGCUAGGUGUUGGAUCCUUUCCGGGAUUCAGUGCCGCAGCUAACGCAUUAAGCACUCCGCCUGGGGAGUACGACCGCAAGGUUGAAACUCAAAGGAAUUGACGGGGGCCCGCACAAGCGGUGGAGCAUGUGGUUUAAUUCGAAGCAACGCGAAGAACCUUACCAGGUCUUGACAU